AAAUUCACCAACCAAGUUUGUAUUUUUCGAAUACAUAGAGGGAAAUAGGUAAAUAGUCAAAAAAUAAUAAUAACAAUUUUUUAGGUAAAACCCUAACUUCUAAUUAUAGAAAAACACAAAAUCAUACAAACAACACCCAAAACAUCACUGAAGUGAAAUUACAAACUGAAUAAAGGGUACUCCAUCAAAAUAACUAUCUUGUUAAACAGCUUGAACUCUUAAACUUUUAGAAUGAAACAUGAAUUUAAUAAGAAACAAGAACAACCAGGAGAAUUACAGCAAGUACAGAUUACAAAUAGACCAAUAAAUAAUAUUUGAGAGAAGAACUGCACUAACCAAAUUAGGACCGGCCUCAGAUCUAUGAUUUCAAAAUAGGAAUAUCAAAUUAAAUGUAAGAGUCCAGCGAUAAUGAUUGACAAGAGAAAUUUCCAAUUCAAACGAUAAAAAACUGGAAUAGUGACUAUGAACUUGAACAAAAGAAGAAAGUUUUUGAUUUUGGAGAUAGAUUUCUCAAAUAAAUGCUUGGUUCAAUCAAAAUACUCAUGUUCAUCACUGCAAUCGAUAAAGAAAAGGGGUGAUCUGAAUAAUUUUUUUUGGUCU
rnacentral:lncRNA from 1 species